UUCCUCUCUAAUUUAUACGUACGUUCAUUGCAGUUGAUCAUCUUCAAAGUAGGGCGAGGCUACCUAAUUGUCUAAACCUCGAUUGGAGACUGAUCAGCAGUGGUAAAACUGUAUAUAUGCUCUUCCCGCAAGCAAUGCAAAUGCUCUUCCCGCAGUGGUAAAACUGUAUAUAUGCUCCUGUUCAUUACAAUAGUUAGUUAUUGGCGCCUGAAUAAUUCAGCAGUACUUACGUUUCAGUGCCGCUACAUUAUCUUCAUGCUCGCAGCUGCUCAACUAUCUGUGUCUCCACCUCUCACCGUGAACCUCAACCAGACCGCAUCACGCGCACCAGCCAUCACUCCCCCGUAAGCUCCAAACCAGUGAACUGCCACCUUCUAGCCGAGACACGUUCUGAAGCCACACCAGACGAAACUCACGCCGGUUCCUAGGUCGUUCGGAGUCCAUCACCCCAGCCGCACGCCACCUCAGUCUCACGGUGCUGCCACCCAACGCACGUAGCCCCGGUUUCAAGCCCCGAAAUACUCUGUUUUUGUUGUAAAAAACAGAGCAUCGUCCAAGCCGCUGCGAUCACCCUCCAUCGUGAACUCCUCCGUGCUGUGCCUCCACAGAAACUGCCGGCGAGGACUUCCUAUCAUCCCAGACCACCGCACGCCGCCUCUAGCCCUCGCUAGUGACCAAGCACCACCCUCAUCCGCCGUAGCCAGCCCCAGCUCCACGCCGUCAUGCUUCCCCACCUCUCCGU